rnacentral:rRNA from 1 species
AGCGAACGCUGGCGGCAGGCCUAACACAUGCAAGUCGAACGAACCUUUCGGGGUUAGUGGCGGACGGGUGAGUAACACGUGGGAACGUGUCUUUAGGUUCGGAAUAACUCAGGGAAACUUGUGCUAAUACCGAAUGUGCCCUUCGGGGGAAAGAUUAAUCGCCUUUAGAGCGGCCCGCGUCUGAUUAGCUAGUUGGAUGAGGUAAUGGCUCACCAAGGCGACGAUCAGUAGCUGGUCUGAGAGGAUGAUCAGCCACAUUGGGACUGAGACACGGCCCAAACUCCUACGGGAAGCAGCAGUGGGGAAUCUUGCGCAAUGGGCGAAAGCCUGACGCAGCCAUGCCGCGUGAAUGAUGAAGGUCUUAGGAUUGUAAAAUUCUUUCACCGGGGACGAUAAUGACGGUACCCGGAGAAGAAGCCCCGGCUAACUUCGUG